AGGUCGAAACAAUAACAAGGGACUGCCUCAGUCUACGAUUUCUUUUGAUGGAAUCUAUGCAAAUAUGAGGAUGGUUCAUAUACUUACAUCAGUUGUUGGAUCCAAAUGUGAAGUACAAGUGAAAAAUGGAGGUAUAUAUGAAGGAGUUUUUAAAACAUACAGUCCUAAGUGUGAUUUGGUCCUUGAUGCUGCACAUGAGAAAAGUACAGAAUCCAGUUCAGGGCCAAAACGUGAAGAAAUAAUGGAGAGUAUUCUGUUUAAGUGUUCAGACUUCGUUGUGGUACAGUUUAAAGAUAUGGACUCCAGUUAUGCAAGAAGAGAUGCUUUCACUGACUCAGCUAUCGGUGCUAAAGUGAACGGUGAGCACAAGGAGAAGGACCUGGAGCCCUGGGAUGCAGGGGAGCUCGCUGCCAGUGAGGAGCUCGAAGCUUUGGAGAACGACGUCUCUAAUGGAUGGGAUCCCAAUGAUAUGUUUCGAUAUAAUGAAGAACAUUAUGGUGUAGUGUCUACAUAUGAUAGCAGUUUAUCUUCAUAUACGGUGCCCUUAGAAAGGGAUAAUUCAGAAGAAUUUUUAAAACGAGAAGCAAGAGCAAACCAAUUAGCAGAAGAAAUUGAAUCAAGUGCCCAGUACAAAGCCCGGGUAGCCCUGGAAAAUGAUGAUAGGAGUGAAGAAGAAAAAUACACAGCAGUUCAGAGAAAUUCCAGUGAACGUGAGAGUCACAGCAUAAACACUAGGGAAAAUAAAUAUAUUCCUCCUGGACAAAGAAAUAGAGAAGUCAUGUCCUGGGGAAGUGGGCGACAGAAUUCACCGCGUGUGGGCCAGCCUGGACCGGGCUCCAUGGCAUCAAGAUCCACUUCUCACACAUCAGAUUUCAACCCGAAUUCUGGUUCAGACCAAAGAGUAGUUAAUGGAGGUGUUCCCUGGCCAUCGCCUUGCCCAUCUCCUUCCUCUCGCCCACCUUCUCGCUACCAGUCAGGUCCCAACUCUCUUCCACCUCGGGCAGCCACCCCUACACGGCCGCCCUCCAGGCCCCCCUCGCGGCCAUCCAGACCCCCGUCUCACCCCUCUGCUCAUGGUUCUCCAGCUCCUGUCUCUACUAUGCCUAAACGCAUGUCUUCAGAAGGGCCUCCAAGGAUGUCCCCAAAGGCCCAGCGACACCCUCGAAAUCACAGAGUUUCUGCUGGAAGGGGUUCCAUUUCCAGUGGACUAGAAUUUGUAUCCCAUACUCCACCGAGUGAAGCAGUGGCUCCUCCCACAGCAAGGACCAGUCCAGCGGGGGGCACGUGGUCAUCUGUGGUCAGCGGGGUUCCAAGAUUAUCCCCCAAAACUCACAGACCCAGGUCUCCCAGACAGAACAGUAUUGGAAAUACUCCUAGUGGACCAGUUCUUGCUUCUCCCCAAGCUGGUAUUAUUCCCACGGAAGCUGUUGCUAUGCCUGUUCCAGCUGCAUCUCCCACGCCUGCCAGUCCUGCAUCUAACAGAGCUGUCACCCCGUCUAUUGAGGCUAAGGAUUCCAGGCUUCAAGAUCAGAGGCAGAACUCUCCUGCAGGGAAUAAGGAAAACAUGAAGCCCAAUGAGACAUCACCCAGCUUCUCAAAAGUUGAAAAUAAAGGUAUAUCACCAGUUGUUUCCGAGCAUAGAAAACAGAUUGAUGACUUAAAGAAAUUUAAGAAUGAUUUUAGGUUACAGCCAAGUUCUACUUCUGAAUCUGUGGAUCAACUGCUAAACAAAAAUAGAGAGGGAGAAAAAUCAAGAGAUUUGAUCAAAGACAAAAUUGAACCAAAUGCUAAGGAUUCUUUCAUUGAAAAUAACAGCAGCAACUGCACCAGUGGCAGCAGCAAGCCGAGCAGCCCCAGCAUUUCCCCCUCGGUCCUCUGUCACACGGAGCACAGGAGGGGUCCCGAGGUCACCUCCCAAGGAGUCCAGACGUCCAGCCCAGGAUGUAAACAAGAGAAAGACGAUAAAGAGGAGAAAAAAGACGCAGCUGAGCAAGUGAGGAAAUCAACAUUGAAUCCCAAUGCAAAGGAAUUCAACCCUCGUUCUUUUUCUCAGCCAAAGCCUUCUACCACCCCAACUUCGCCUCGUCCUCAAGCACAACCUAGCCCGUCCAUGGUGGGUCAUCAGCAGCCAACUCCAGUUUAUACUCAGCCUGUUUGUUUUGCACCAAAUAUGAUGUAUCCAGUCCCAGUGAGCCCAGGCGUGCAACCUUUAUACCCUAUACCUAUGACGCCCAUGCCAGUGAAUCAAGCCAAGACAUAUAGAGCAGUACCAAACAUGCCCCAGCAACGGCAAGACCAGCAUCAUCAGAGCACCAUGAUGCAUCCCGCCUCAGCGGCAGGCCCACCAAUUGUGGCCACCCCACCAGCUUAUUCCACACAAUACGUUGCCUAUAGUCCUCAGCAGUUUCCAAAUCAGCCUCUUGUUCAGCACGUGCCCCAUUAUCAGUCUCAGCAUCCUCAUGUCUACAGUCCUGUAAUACAGGGCAGUGCCAGGAUGAUGGCCCCAGCGGCCCAUGCCCAGCCGGGCCUCGUGUCUUCCUCAGCUGCUCAGUACGGGGCUCACGAGCAGACACAUGCGAUGUAUGCAUGUCCCAAAUUACCAUACAACAAGGAGACAAGCCCUUCUUUCUACUUUGCCAUUUCCACUGGCUCCCUUGCUCAGCAGUAUGCGCACCCUAAUGCUACCCUGCACCCACAUACUCCACAUCCUCAGCCUUCAGCCACCCCCACUGGACAGCAGCAAAGCCAACAUGGUGGAAGUCACCCUGCACCCAGCCCCGUCCAGCACCAUCAGCACCAAGCCGCCCAGGCUCUCCACCUGGCGGGUCCGCAGCAGCAGUCAGCCAUUUACCACGCGGGGCUCGCACCAACCCCGCCGUCCAUGACACCUGCUUCCAACACGCAGUCGCCACAGAACAGUUUCCCAGCAGCACAGCAGACAGUCUUCACAAUCCACCCUUCUCAUGUCCAGCCGGCGUACACCAACCCGCCCCACAUGGCCCACGUACCUCAGGCUCAUGUACAGUCAGGAAUGGUUCCUUCUCAUCCAACUGCCCAUGCGCCAAUGAUGCUAAUGACGACACAGCCACCCGGCGGUCCCCAGGCCGCCCUCGCUCAAAGUGCACUACAGCCCAUUCCAGUCUCGACAACAGCGCAUUUCCCCUAUAUGACGCACCCUUCAGUACAAGCCCACCACCAACAGCAGUUGUAAGGCUGCCCUGGAGGAACCGAAAGGCCAAAUUCCCUCCUCCCUUCUACUGCUUCUACCAACUGGAAGCACAGAAAACUAGAAUUUCAUUUAUUUUGUUUUUUAAAAAUAUAUGUUGAUUUCUUGUAACAUCCAAUAGGAAUGCUAACAGUUCACUUGCAGUGGAAGAUAUUUGGACCGAGUAGAGGCAUUUAGGAACUUGUGGGCUGUUCCAAUUCCAUAUGCUGUUUCCGAGUCCCGCAAGUACCCCAGCUCUGCUUGCUCAAACUGGAAGUUAUUUAUUUUUUAAUAACCCUCAAAAGUCAUGUAUACAUCAGCUAGCAAAAGUAACAAGAGUGAUUCUUGCUGCUAUUACUGCUAAAAAAAAAAAAAAAUCAAGACUUGGAACACCCUUUUACUAAACUUGACAAAGUUUCAGUAAAUUCUUACCGUCAAACUGACGGAUUAUUAUUUAUAAAUCAAGUUUGAUGAAGUGAUCACUGUCUACAGUGGUUCAACUUUUAAGUUAAGGGAAAAACUUUUACUUUGUAGAUAAUAUAAAAUAAAAACUUAAAAAAAAAAUUAAAAAAUAAAAAAAGUUUUAAAAACUGAUAUCCAGUUAGUGUGUGUUUGUAUAAGCUACUAGUUAAUACCAAGGCAGGAAGGCUGUAUUUUCUUAAUAUCCUGGAAGGUUAGUUGUCAAAUGAUUUUUCUUCUUCACCUUUAGUUCUGGUUCAAGGUAUCUCUAGGAAAAGACAAGACUGAGAUAUUCUCUUUGGUGGAUAGAGGUCCGCUUCAGAAGGAGGAAGGCUGGCCAGAGUUGGGCAGCAUUGAAACUCCACACCCUCAGCCUGACGCUGAUUCUAAAUGAUCAGAGGCAGAAGAUUUAUACCAGAUAAAGCCAUAUGGAUUGCUGGUCUAAAAUUCAAGGCAGCUCCGCCCCUGCAGCUGAGGAACUGCUGACCUGGCGGCUGUGGUGGGAAGAGGAUUCCCCCUCGGCACCUGAGGGCCCUGGCCCACAAGUGAUGUGGAACUCGUCCUGGCCACUUACCUUCCUGAGGCUGAGCAUGACGGCUUCUUCCUGUCUCCCCGGGAAGCAAAGAUGCAAACCAGCUCUGCCACUACCCUCACAGUAGGGCCUGCACUCUACAGCUACCCUUACCUGGGCUUUAUAAUCCCUCCAGGCUCUAAGGUCAGUCUUGACCUUCUGCUUGUACAGCCCUGGAGAAAGGGCUCAGCCCUCCUGUCUGUGUGUCUUCGUCUUUAAUAGCCCCUCUCUUCACAGGGUUAGUGUGGUGGCCGGCUGGGGCCUGAGGCCAGCCAGGUGGGUCCACUACAGCGGCAGAGGACUAGGUUACAGACCACCCUCAGCAUGCAGCUCCCUCUCCACCUGCCAGAGUGUGGUACCAUGCUCCUUUCCACCCUGCAGUGAAAUUCACACCUCUUAUUACCUACAUGCCUGAGACAAUCUACAUUAAAGUGUAUUUCCCUCUGA